CUCGUUCAGUCAAGACUCGAGCAGCUUUUUUUAUUUUUGGUUUUCGGUUUCUUCGCGAAAGCAGCUCACUGAGUCACUUACUCACUAACUCGUUCUCUUUUCUCUCUCUCUCUUAAAAAUCACUUUGUAUCUAAUUCCGAGAACUCGAAACCCUAGAAAUGGUCAUUUUAAUGUGAUUAAAUCGAGUGGAGAGAGGAGAGCAACCAUUUCAGGCUAAACACGUUCAAAGUUCAUGGCAUUUGUUUCAAGUAAUUUUCCAGUUCCACAAGAGAGUAGUUGCUAUACACAACUUGGAUGGCAAUGUGACUUUUACUUCGAUUAUGGGUUUGAUGCGAUUGAAGAAGAUGCUACGAAUGAGAAAUAUUGUAUACAGGUGCUGAGGAUUUUGAUCACAAAGGCUGACACUGAAAUUGACGAACUUGAAAAAGAUUUGGUCUUUCUUCAGAAUGAACUAGCUGGGGUAGAAUAUGAAGAAUGGUUUGAGAUAUGCUGCAAUGCUUUGCGAAAACAGAUAGAUUGCCUUUAUAUUGCGGUAAGGAGUUUGAAGAGUAAAGAUAAAAACGAUAUUGAAGUUCGAUUUUUGAUGUAUAGAAAACCUCUUAAGAGUUUGCAUGAAAUAUUAAAGGCUCUACUCGGAGACUACUGCAACGAUAAAGAUAAACAGAAUGAACAGCCCCUCGAUGUGAUGGUGCUAGACAGUUCUGAUUCUACCAUACUUGCUGCUGAACAUCUGGAAGAAAGCACAAAAUUUAUUUUUCCUGACUCGAGUGUUGUUGUAAAGGAGGAAAGUCAAGCAUCCAGUAUUACUUAUACAGAAAGUGGUUCAUUUUUAAAUACACCUUUGACACAUCAAGAGAAGAGAAGAAAUAAUUCAGAAGCAGUUAAGCUUAGACAUACUAAUGGAAAAGAUUCCAGUCCAAACUCUUUGAAAUCGGAAGCUGGUGACCUUGAUGAAAAAGAAGUAUUGAGCAGCGUUGACAUGGAAACUGCUAUGAAAGGGGAAGCUGGAGAACACUGUUUUACUUCAGUGUGUAACGAAGUGGUCCAAAAUCCAUCUUUGAACUACAUAGAUGAGAGAAGAUGUAAUCUAGAACUGGCUAUGGAUCAGCCUGCUGAUAUCAUCUUGAAGAAAACCAAUAAAGUUGGUUUGAAGCAUAUUGUUAACCACUCCAACAAGGAGAAAAAUCUUUGCUCUUCUAAUUCAAAAAUUGUAAGUGAUGAAGCGGAAGAAAACAGUUCUGCAUCUACAGAAGAUGUUAUAAUCUUGGAUUCAGCAUUGAACUCUAUGGGAAAUAAUGCAAAACUUUGUAAAAGGAUCAAGCUGAUAAAUACUGUCAACAAAGAUUCGGACUCAAAUGCUUGUACACGUGAAGAAGGCCAUCAUAAUGCGAGGAGGACAAGGUGCAAGCCAGAUUUGGAAGUUAAUGGAAAUGAGGAAGUCAGCACAUACCAUACUAUUAGCGCAGGCAAAGAUAAAAUUCUGGAUUCAUCUUCCGACCUUGAAGGCAAAGUAAAUCCUCCAAAAGCAGAGAAGCCUGCAACUGCUGUCAUGCGAGAAGCUAAUGCUGAUGCUUUAAGGCAUGCAACUUGUUUCAGCGGGGGAAGAAACAAUUCAGAUUUGAGGUUAUCUAUCCCUAGGCAGGCAAAAGUUGGAAAUUCAGAUAGCAGUAGUGAAUCUACCGAUGCUCUGAGCCAUACUACUCUUUCAAGGCAGAAAAAAGGUGGAAAUUCUGAUACUAGUCUUGGUGCUUUGAGUCCGGCAACUGGACUCAGCAGGAGGAGAAAUUAUUCUGAUUCUGCAUUAACUACUUCCAGACAGUUACGAGUUGGAAAUUCUGAUGUUAGUUCUGCUGCUUUGGGUCAUGCAACUGGCCUGGAUCAGAGGAGAAAUAAUUCUGAUUCUAAGGUAGGUGCGUUCAGACAGGCAAAAGGUAGAAACUGCGAGUUUGAUCAAAAACUUUGUGAUUUUGCACAGAAGGCUGCACGUAAACGGGGGAUAAAAGAAUCCAAUUCAAUUCUGGCUAACAGGUUCAAAUCUUCGUAUUUGUCUUCAGAGGCAAAAGGAAAGGGAAAACCUUCUCUACCAAUUGUCAAGGUCGAAAAAUCUUGUUUGACAGAUACUGAACAGUCUGCAUUAACUUCACUUUUGAAUCUGCAAGAUGAUAAAGGGAAAAAAACAGCCAAUGCACAGGCUGUUGAAGGGAAGAAGCAAGGAAAAGACGUUCAAAUGGCUGAAACUAUUGCCAAUAAUAUGAAAUUUAACACUGACUUGUCUGUGAAGCCACAAAAACAUUAUGUAAAGAGGAAAUUCAAGUCAAAUUCUCCCAGUGGUAAAGAAUCUGGUUUGCAAUCUGUUGAAAUGAUUCCACAAUCAUCUUUUGCCGCAAAAGCUAAGAGACACUUGAAAUCUGAACCUGGGUCUGACAGUUCCAGUUCAAAUCACUCUUUAAAUACAAAGAUAAUGAAGAAAGCAGUUCAACAUGGUCAGUGUGAAGCUGAAGAGCAAAGUAUUGCUUUGGAUGACAGUCGAAAUUCAAUUUCACAGCCACAAAAGAAAAGAAAAAAGAACCUGAGUAUACCAGUCCUUGUGGAGAUUAAAGGUUCAACUCUUCAAAUUGACUUCUCAAAAUCGCACAGGGAUCUAAAUCAUGCUACAGGUAAGGAUGAUAUUUCGAUCACAGAAUCCUACUCAAUUGAUUCUUGCACUGAGGUUGUGACAUCUUCGCCUUUUGCUACUAGUGAACUGAUGAAACUAAAAAUAGGUGAGCUGAGGACCAUCGCAAAGGAACAGAAACUAACAAAGUAUUAUAAGCUUCGAAAAACUGAUCUGGUCGAACUUAUAGCCAACAAAUUAGGUUCUUGUUAAACUUACAAGUGGGCUGACGAAUUGGUUAUCCAUGUUAUCUUGUUUUCUUCCAUUUUGUCCCUCGUUUUGUAAAUAUGUCUGGCGGGCGUGUUCAUUGUCUUAUGGAAUUUGAUUGGCUUCAAAGUUGGACAUCAUUACCUAAAGGGAAAGCUGGAGCAAUCGAAUCUUUGUAAGACGGUGU